rnacentral:rRNA from 1 species
UACGAAGGGGGCUAGCGUUGUUCGGAAUUACUGGGCGUAAAGCGCACGUAGGCGGAUAUUUAAGUCAGGGGUGAAAUCCCGGGGCUCAACCCCGGAACUGCCUUUGAUACUGGGUAUCUUGAGUUCGGAAGAGGUGAGUGGAAUUGCGAGUGUAGAGGUGAAAUUCGUAGAUAUUCGCAGGAACACCAGUGGCGAAGGCGGCUCACUGGUCCGAUACUGACGCUGAGGUGCGAAAGCGUGGGGAGCAAACA